CUCCUUCAGGUAUUUUUAUACAUGGAUGAGAUUCCCUCCAAGUUUUCUCUUUUCUAGGCUGAACAGGACCAGCUUUCUCAGCCUUUCCUCACAAGAGCGGUACUUCAGACCCAUGAUCACCUGGUGGUCCUACAUUGGACACUUUCCAUUACGUCCAUGCCUCUCUUGAAAUAAUUAAUAUCCAAAAUAAUAUGCUGACAUUAUAAACACGAGAGGAGCAGUGUCUCCCAGGUUUAUCUAUGAAGUAACAGUCAGUCUAAGUUACUGAAUACUCCAGUGUGUAUAUAAAUACAUUAGCAGAAGCUGUAAGCACUGUGAAUCUUCAGCCUUGUGAGAAAUUUUCCUAACAGAGAGAUGAACCCUCCACCCGCAGGGAAAAGCUGUAAAUCCAACCACAAAAUGGCUGCCCCGGCCAUUUUGCAGGGCAGGCUGGAUCACUGCUGAGGCCAGCGCCACUCUGGGCCUGCAUGGACACAGAGGGCAAACCGCUGCCUGGCUCCCCGUGGGCUGAGGGUCUGUGGCCAGCACGGGCAGCCCACAUAGAGGAUUUGUAGAGCAGAGGGCUGUGUGCCUGCUCUCUGCCCAGAGCGGAGCAGGACUCUUUGCAGGAUCACCAAAAUUUCUGGAAAUGUUAACUCAGCUGAAUGCUAGUGGCAAAUAAUUGUUCCAUGGCAAAUACUUAUUCACAUCACAAGCAGAAGCCACCUGUACUGGAGAUAGGUGCAGAAAGUUAUUCCACAUCCCCUGCACCCCGAUAUUACUACUAUUAAACUAGUGUUUUACAAAUCAUCCUCUGUUCAGCCACAUAGAUACUGGAGCUAUCCUGCCAUUCUUGGGAAGACAAUGAUCAAGAAGUUUAUGCGGAGGACAGUAACUAUUAACCAAAUAUAUCAUCCCUGACAACUAUUUGUUUUGUAAGAGACCUGAGGGAGGGGAUACAGAUUCUGUAGAAACUUACAGUUAGGGCCAAUUUAAAUGCGUUUAAUUUUCAAGGUGAAGAACUACCACAGAGACACAUAAUGACAAGAAGUGGAAGCCUGGCUGAUUCAAACUCCUGGAAGAAUGGAGCUGGCAUCCUGAAGGGCCUUACACUGCAGUCAUAGAGGGGCUAAAACAAAGAGAUGGUCACCACGGAGGAUAGAAGGUGAGAGGGGGCAGCUGCCCAGUGUAAUGGCCUGUAACUAGGAAUAUUGCAGUUCUAUCUGACAGAAUAACCACUGGCAGAAAAAACAAUUAGCUCAUCCAAUUCUACCGUGUACACAUAAAAUUUAGAAGGAGAGAGACCUAGAAAUCACAGGAGGAUCCCACAGUCAAACUUAUUUCUAUGCACAAAGUUGUUUCCUUCACAUCAAAAGCAUUUUGUAGAGAGAGAGUGCAGAAUAGACAGCGAACCAUGAAGACUGUUCCACUGCUAACUGUCUCACUUGUGUGAAAAUCAGUAUAUAAAUCAGAUAAAAAGAAUUUACUUAUUUAUGCAUUGAAGAUACUCUCUUCAUCUGAUUUACCUUCAUCUGAUGGAGAUGCUUUGCGUAAAGGGAUGCAUUAUGAAGAAAUGCAUUCUGCUAGGAAAGGCUUGAGCUGGAAAUUAAAUCCUGUGCUAAACUUUUCAAGAAGUAUCUACCUUCACUGAACUCUUUUCAUGGUCCUGCUUAUUUCUACUUUAAACUUCUCAUUUAUUGUACUUUAAGCUCCAUCAGUGAAUGUAAAUGGGGUUUCACUAUACGUUUAGUGCAUUCAAGCAUUCUUUGUUACAGUUCCCACCCUGGCGCAUUAUGUGAGCUCUGCCACGGAAGUCCAGCAGUCGGUUUGUUUUCUGCUAUUAAGAAAAGAACCUACUUUUCGCCACUUCUUUGAAGAAGUUGAAAGGGCUACAUGUUAGAGGGGGAGGUGGUGGGGAACAGACUGUGGUGUAAUCCCCAAACGCAAAUGCUGUCUAGAUUAGAAACCUCCCAGAAGAAAAUCUACAAAUGCUAAGACUGUGCUUUUUGUGUGAUGAACAGUAGAGCAAUAACUUAGCCACAUACUGGGUUCUGCCUAAUGCUUAAGGAGCCUACUAGGUGAAAGGAAUUAAAUGAAAAAAAAAAAAAAAAAUCUUCCAGUUGGCUCUGUGCCGAUGCUAGCCAACCCUUUCAGGACCCAGUGACUUACUAGUGGAACUAUUUUCAUUUGUAUUUCAUCACUGAGGUUUCUUAAUAUAAUACUUUGGAUUCUGUUAAAAUAAAUAUAUGCAAAAAAAAAAA
rnacentral:lncRNA from 1 species